CUAAGCUGCGUGGAAAUAGUCUACUUUCACUUUGAAACCUUGUGACUGUUCGUGUGUUUGCAAUGAACCAAGGAAGGCUACAAUUACACCUGGUUGAACUGAAUGAACCCUUCGCUGAUUCCUCGGGGCCUUCAUCCAGUCUCCAACUUUAUAUUUAUGAAAAUAAUGACAUUUAGCUGAAUGUCCCCUUGCCCAGCCCCGUGCAAACCCCUUAGUACAAAUUGUCCUUGUUAAUUGCGCUUUAUUCUUUAUCUUUGUCUUCUGCAGUAGUAGUAGGUGCAGUGGAGUCUUCCCCUGCGUCGGGGGUCUGGCCACUUUCCUCCUUGUGUUCUUUCUUCCAUUUCAUUCUCCUGUUCUGGAACCAGAUUUUGAUCUGCCUUUCAGUCAGACACAGGGCGUGUGCAAUUUCUAUUCUCCGCCUGCGGGUUAGGUAGCGAUUAAAGUGAAAUUCUUUCUCCAGCUCCAGAGUCUGGUAACGGGUGUAGGUCUGGCGACCCCUCUUUCUGUCCGGACCUUAAAGUUAUAGAGACAGUAUUAGACUUUGAGGGAUAUUGGCCUUUAUACAAACCCAAUGUUGCAGUCAUUCUGCCCCACUUCACAUAAACCCUAUUAUAACUGCCUUACUAAUACACUGGGCCUGAUCAUCGUCUGGAUCUUCCUACUUUUUGCUCUAUAGUCAUUCUUAUAUUAAAUACUUUCAACCAGUUAACUACUUUAUUAAACCUACCUGUAACUAAAUACACAUAUAUACAAUAUUAUUCAUUUUCUAGGUCAUAAGCAUUCCCUUCCCUUGUGUUUAAUUUUAUCGAGAGCAUUUAAUAGAAGAUGAGUAUGAAAAAGAAAUGCCCAUUAAGCUCACCCCUUUGUUGAUGUAAAUGCUGCCUAAUUUUCAAGUAUCUUCUUAAGAUACAAAAUAUAUUUAUCUAUAUCCA